GAUGAACGCUGGCGGCGUGCUUAACACAUGCAAGUCGAGCGGAAGCAAAUACACGGAAUUUUUCGGAAGGAAGUGUGUUUGCUUUAGCGGCGGACGGGUGAGUAACGCGUGGAUAACCUGCCUCAUACAGGGGGAUAACAGUUAGAAAUGACUGCUAAUACCGCAUAAGCACCCGGGAGCGCAUGCUCCUGAGUGAAAAGCUCCGGCGGUAUGAGAUGGAUCCGCGUCUGAUUAGCUGGUUGGCGGGGUAACGGCCCACCAAGGCGACGAUCAGUAGCCGACCUGAGAGGGUGGCCGGCCACAUUGGGACUGAGACACGGCCCAA
rnacentral:rRNA from 1 species